GCACACACUCGCACUCGCUCUUUGGAAUCACAGAAAUCUCAGGCACAGCAAACUCAACACAAGGCAGUGAGAGUGAGACAGGGUUUUAUUUUAACUUAUUUUCUUCUUAUUCCUUUACAGUUCAACCUGCAUUUCUCUCUCACUUUCGCAUCUCAGAUCGAAAUCCAGGUUGAAGCAUUCCCUCGUAUUCUGUCAUUGCAAGCCGUGAAGAUGCGUCAUUCAAAAUGGGAGUGUAUACAUCUGUCUGCACUGCUGAUGUUCGUACUAACUAGAUAACUACAUGGUGGAGAGAGACAUUUUAGAUACUGCUUUCUCAGAUGACUGUUAUUAGCCGUAUUAUUAUUGAACAGUGUUGCUAUGGGCAUUUGUCGCUUGAAAUGGCAAUGGCCGUGGCUUCUUUACAUUCUGCUGAUACACAUUGUAAUCAAUCAAAGUGAAGCAAUCAGUCCUGAUGGUGAGGUACUUCUCAGCUUUAGGACAGCAGUUGUUAGUUCUGACGGUAUCCUGUUACAGUGGAGGCCAGAGGAUCCUGACCCAUGUAAAUGGAAAGGAGUGAAGUGUGAUCCAAAAACCAAGAGUGUAACACAUCUGAGUCUAUCUCACCAUAAGUUAAGUGGGUCUAUAUCACCUGACCUUGGGAAGCUAGAGAAUCUGAGGGUUCUUGCUCUUCAUAACAACAACUUCUAUGGGACAAUUCCAUCAGAACUGGGAAAUUGCACUGAAUUGGAAGGAAUAUUCUUACAGGGUAAUUACCUUAGUGGAAUGAUUCCAAGUGAAAUAGGAAACCUUUCAUUGCUUCAAAAUUUGGAUAUAUCAAGCAAUUCCCUCAGUGGGAAUAUUCCUGCAUCACUUGGGAAGUUGUAUAAUCUCAAAAAUUUCAAUUUAUCAACCAAUUUUCUGGUCGGACCGAUCCCUUCUGAUGGUGUCCUUGCCAACUUUACUGGAAGCUCCUUUGUUGGAAAUCGUGGUUUGUGUGGAGUGAAAAUCAAUUCAACAUGUAAAGAUGAUGGUUCGCCUGAGACAAAUACUCAAUCUACUUCCUCUGACCAGAAUCAAUUUGGAAAAAAGAAAUAUUCUGGCCGGCUGCUCAUUAGUGCAUCAGCAACUGUGGGUGCACUACUUUUGGUGGCACUCAUGUGCUUCUGGGGUUGUUUUCUUUAUAAAAAGUUUGGUAAAAAUGACAGAAUAAGUCUGGCAAUGGAUGUUGGUUCAGGUGCAUCAAUUGUUAUGUUUCAUGGAGACCUACCAUAUUCUUCAAAAGACAUUAUUAAGAAACUGGAGUCUUUGAAUGAGGAACACAUAAUAGGGAUAGGGGGAUUCGGAACUGUUUACAAGCUUACUAUGGAUGAUGGGAAUGAAUUUGCUUUGAAAAGGAUUGUAAAAUUGAAUGAGGGGUUUGAUAGAUUUUUUGAGAGAGAACUUGAAAUUCUUGGUAGCAUUAAACACCGUUAUCUAGUGAAUUUACGAGGAUAUUGCAAUUCACCUGCAUCAAAGUUGUUAAUAUAUGACUACCUACCUGGUGGUAGUCUUGAUGAAGCUCUUCAUGAAAAAUCUGAGCCACUAGACUGGGAUGCACGCUUGAAUAUAAUUGUGGGAGCUGCAAAAGGGCUUGCAUACUUGCAUCAUGACUGUUCCCCUAGGAUUAUACAUCGAGACAUAAAAUCAAGCAACAUUUUGCUUGAUGGAAACUUGGAUGCUCGGGUCUCUGAUUUUGGACUUGCUAAACUACUGGAGGAUGAAGAAUCUCACAUCACCACUAUUGUUGCUGGAACAUUUGGUUAUCUAGCUCCAGUAUUGGUCUUUCUUCUGGCCAUUAGAGAGAGAGAGGGAGAGAGGACAAAUGUUGCCAAACCAACCAAAGGAACGAGGAAAAUGGCUGAAUAUGAUUAAAAUCUUUAUUAUUUUUCUUAACAUGGAGUAAAGGAGCUGCUAAUAAUCAAUAGAUGAGUUCAGCUUGACAAUUUUGUGACAUUGAAAGGGCUGGUUAUAUUUGGGGUGUGCUGAAAUUUGGAUAUUUGAUUGGUUUUAGAUUUUAACUAAUUGUUGUCUGAGCAAGCCUCUGUUACUUCAUGGCAGAGUAUAUGCAAAGUGGGAGAGCAACUGAGAAGACUGAUGUGUAUAGCUUUGGUGUGCUGACACUUGAAGUGCUGAGUGGAAAGCGACCAACAGAUGCAUCAUUCAUUGAAAAGGGUCUCAAUAUUGUCGGUUGGUUGAAUUUUCUAAUUACCGAAAAUAGGCCGAGGGAAAUUGUUGACCCUCUAUGUGAGCGAGUGCAGAUGGAGAGCCUUGAUGCCUUGCUCUCUGUGGCUAUUCAGUGUGUUUCCUCAAGUCCAGAGGAUCGACCCACUAUGCACCGAGUGGUCCAGCUGCUUGAGCCAGAGGUCGUAACUCCAUGUCCUAGUGACUUCUAUGACUCCAACUCGGAUUAAAAAGCUUGCAAUGACAAACUAAACGUAUGUUGUAUUUGCAUCCACGUCACUGCAAAUGACUUGCAAGUCAGAAGCAAUGAAAGAGACAGAAUCAGCAGGCUUACUUUCCUUCUCAGUUGCAUUCAUUCUUAACUGAAAUUGAUGAUGAGAGGUCCUUCACUACACCACUUAUCGAUAGAAGUUGUGGUUCUCCAUCACAUGUCAUCAUUGGACAUGUUCAUACAUUUCUUUGUCUUCGUGAAUAGAGUUGCAUGUGUUACUGGAUCGAUCGUGGUUCCACUCUUCCUCCUGUUUUUUCUUCUUUUUCCCUUUUCUUUUUGCUAGCCUUUGUAAUCUUUGUUACAUUUGUUCACUCCAAUUUAAGUGUAUAUGAGUAUGUACAAGUUCAGAUGGC